AUGCUGCUUAUCCUACAGCCUCCAAAUUUAACUGUCCCAACAAGUCACACAAACAAAGCAGUAGUUUUCAUUGCCUUCUGCUUAGACAAAAUUGAAAUAUUUGCCAUGAAAUAUCUGGAUUCUAAUAUUUUACAGGAUUCUACCUCACCAUCUUACAACCGUCAGAGUGAACGGGAGUCAUAUUCUUCUGGAGCUAGUCAAUAUGGUGGACAAGGAUCACCAUCUUAUGGAAGCAGCCAUUAUGGUGGACAAGGUUCACCUUACUCUGGAGGCAGCCAAUAUGGAGGGCAGGGUCCAUCUUCCUCAGGUGGCAGCCAGUAUGGAGGGCAGGGCUCACCUUCAAGAGGCAGCCAAUCUGGUGGACAGGUAUGCUUUAUGUUCUCAACACCAUUCAGCCCUGCUAGUAUUACAGGCACUCUCAGUUUACCUUCUGUAGCUUUGCUUCACAAGAAGCGUUUUUCCUCACUGCUGUCCUUCUUGCCCACAGCCU
rnacentral:lncRNA from 1 species